rnacentral:rRNA from 1 species
GGCGACCGGGUGCGUAACACGUAGCUGACCUGCCCCUCAGCGGGGGACAACUGUUGGAAACGACAGCUAAUACCGCAUGAGGUUGGGAAUACCAAAGGUUCCCAACGAAACUUCCGGGACUGAGGGAGGGGGCUGCGGCCCAUCAGGUAGUUGGUGCGGUAAGAGCGCACCAAGCCGACGACGGGUAGGGGGCCUGAGAGGGUGGUCCCCCACACUGGGACUGACACACGGCCCAGACUCCUACGGGAGGCAGCAGUAAGGGAUAUUGCGCAAUGGGCGGAAGCCUGACGCAGCAACGCCGCGUGGAGGAAGACGGCCUUCGGGUUGUAAACUCGUUUUGCGUCUGACAAGUGAGGAUGGUAGGACGCGAAUAAGUCACGGCUAACUACGUGCCAGCCGCCGCGG